rnacentral:rRNA from 1 species
AUCCUACGGGGGGCAGCAGUGAGGAAUAUUGGUCAAUGGGCGCAAGCCUGAACCAGCCAAGUCGCGUGAGGGAUGACGGUCCUAUGGAUUGUAAACCUCUUUUGUCGGGGAGCAAGGCCCGCCACGUGUGGCGGGCAGGAGAGUACCCGAAGAAAAAGCAUCGGCUAACUCCGUGCCAGCAGCCGCGGUAAUACGGAGGAUGCGAGCGUUAUCCGGAUUUAUUGGGUUUAAAGGGUGCGUAGGCGGAAGGUUAAGUCUGAUGUGAAAGUCCGGGG